rnacentral:rRNA from 1 species
UACGUAGGGUGCAAGCGUUGUCCGGAAUUAUUGGGCGUAAAGAGCUCGUAGGCGGUUUGUCGCGUCGGCUGUGAAAACUCGGGGCUCAACCCCGAGCCUGCAGUCGAUACGGGCAAACUAGAGUGCUGUAGGGGAGACUGGAAUUCCUGGUGUAGCGGUGAAAUGCGCAGAUAUCAGGAGGAACACCGGUGGCGAAGGCGGUUCUCUGGGCCUUACCUGACGCUGAGGAGCGAAAGCGUGGGGAGCGAACAGG